UACAGAGGGUGGCGAGCGUUGUCCGGAAUCACUGGGCGUAAAGGGCGCGUAGGCGGCUUGAUAAGCGUGCGGUGAAAGUCCGGGGCUCAACCCCGGGUCGGCCGUGCGAACUGUCGAGCUGGAGCACUGUAGAGGCAGGUGGAAUUCUGGGGUGUAGCGGUGGAAUGCGUAGAGAUCCGGAAGAACACCGGUGGCGAAGGCGGCCUCUGGGCAGUGGCUGACGCUGAGGGCGCGACACGUGGGGGAGCAAACAGG
rnacentral:rRNA from 1 species